UUGGACUGUCCAUCACUGUCCUAGGCCCCACCCUUUCUCUUACUUAAACCAUGUCACCAAAACUUUUAUUGUCUUCUACACCUCUCCAAGUCAAUCAUUAGACAACCAAUUCCCCCUCCAAUGCCAUCAUUUCUCUUUAACCAUUUCAAAUUAACAAUGACAUGUAUUGAAAUGGUUAAGGUGAUUCAAAUGAGUGGAAUCUUGCAUAUAUAUAGCAUAAUUUAGAUCAAACAUUCCCCUCUUUACCCGACCCCGCCUGUAGCCCAAAAAAAGUUUGAUUCUCUAUUUUUCUAUUUGUUGGUAUUAGUCUUUUACAUGUUUUGUUCCAAACUUUUGUGCAUUUCGGGAUCCAAGGUUUGUUCGUCGUUGAGCUCAUAGGAUAGAUUGCUCUAGAGGAUGAGUAGGCCUGGUUAUUGGACCGGGCUGUCCAAUGGCAUAAGGGUCAUGCUAUUACUAAAGGGUUUUAUGACCCUUUAUUCCUAAAUGAAAAGGGCUCUUAUUGGGUUUUAAAUGAAAAGGGCUCUUAUUGGCUCUUAUUGGGUCUUAUUGGGUCCACUAAAAUCAGUAAAGGGUCUCUCAUUUUUUUUCUCUCUCCUCUCUCCUCUCUCCUCUCUCUUUCUCUUUCUCUUUCUCUUUCUCGACAAAAUUUUGGGGAAAAAAUUAGGGCGAAAUUCCACACUCUUUUCCUCAUUCAUCAUAUUUAAGAAUGAUGGGGGAUGAUGCUACAAAUUUAACGGGGCCAGAACGUGAUGAUGGGUAUACUGAGUAUGGCGUGCGCAGCAGCGAAAGAGAAAGAAAAGGUCUAAAGUUUGGAAGGAACUUAUCGAAGGAAAGAAUGCUCAAGGUGAGAGAAUAGCUACUUGCACGUAUUGUAAGUUAGAAUUGUCAGCACAACGUGAUUAUGGCACUUCUCACUUAAAGCGACACUUAGAAAGAUGUUUACUUAGGCCUCUUGAAUUUAGGAAUGAGGAUGAUAGUGAUGGGGAUAAUUAUGUGUUUAAUAUGGCUGAGCUUAGAGCAGAUAUUAUUAAUUUCAUAGUAGAAGGAGCUCAUUCUUUUUCUAUAGUUGAAGAAAAUGGAUUUAAGAGAAUGAUGGCUAGAGCUAACUGUAACUUUGUUCCAUUUGGUCGUGCAACUGUAAAAAGGGAUUUAUUGUCUUCUUAUGUGGUAGAAAGGGAUGAAUUGAAAGAUAUGUUGUCUAAAGUUUCGGGUCGAGUUUCUUUAACAACGGAUAAUUGGAAGUGUAAUCAUACUAGGCAACAAUUCGACAUGUAUUUAGAUGAUGAUGUUCUUGAUCUCAACUGUGAGUUGGACAUUUUAGAGUUUUGGCAUCAAAGUUCUGUGAGAUAUCCUGUUCUUUCAAAAAUGGCACGAGAUUUGUUGACUAUUCCCGUGAGUAUUGUGGCUUCGGAAUCCGCCUUUAGUAUUGGAGGAAAGACUAUUUCGGCCUCUCGUGGCUCCUUGAAGUCGAAAACAGAUCAAGCUCUAGUAUGUAUGCAAGAUUGGCAUCGUGCAAAGUACAACAUUGAAGAUACGGAGGAGGUUGAUUAUGGGUUUAACGAUGAAAUUGAUGGAGAAGAGGAGGAAGACGACGUGGAUCCCUUUUUUUAGAAGUCGAAGAUUUGGAUUUUUGUGAAGAAGCAAGGCGAAGAGAAGUGCAGAAGACAUGUUUUCCAUGUUUUAGAUACUAGAAGCUUAAGUUUUUGUUGUUUUUAUUUUUAUUUUUAUUUUUAUUUUUGGAUUGAAGGAAUAUUUUUAGUGUUGAGAUAAUUUGGUUUGUCUUCAGAUUUUGGGUUACGUUUAAUGCUAUAAUUAUUGUCGUUUUAUUGUUA